GACGAACGCUGGCGGCAUGCCUAAUACAUGCAAGUCGAACGAACACUUCGGUGUUAGUGGCGCACGGGUGCGUAACGCGUGGGAAUCUGCCCUUGGGUUCGGAAUAACGUCGGGAAACUGACGCUAAUACCGGAUGAUGACGAAAGUCCAAAGAUUUAUCACCCAGGGAUGAGCCCGCGUAGGAUUAGCCAGUUGGUGGGGUAAAGGCCUACCAAGGCGACGAUCCUUAGCUGGUCUGAGAGGAUGAUCAGCCACACUGGGACUGAGACACGGCCCAGACUCCUACGGGAGGCAGCAGUAGGGAAUAUUGGACAAUGGGGGCAACCCUGAUCCAGCAAUGCCGCGUGAGUGAUGAAGGCCUUAGGGUUGUAAAGCUCUUUUACCCGGGAUGAUAAUGACAGUACCGGGAGAAUAAGCCCCGGCUAACUCCGUGCCAGCCGCCGCCGUAA
rnacentral:rRNA from 1 species